UUUUAAUACCGGAGGUACUUACCCCUCGACAGGUCAAUAGUCGGUGGAUGGUUAAAAAUACUAAGCGUAUGUUAAGUACGUCGCCCCGAUUAGGUCCCACUCAUUUCUGAGUGGGAUUUUUUUAUGGA
rnacentral:ncRNA from 12 species